AUCACUUCUCAGCCUCUUGGCUAAGAUCAAGUGUAAAAACUGUGCCCAGCUUUAAUCAUUAAUUGUAAUUAAUUUCAUAACAUCUUUUGGAAAUUAAGGUGUUACACGUUCCCAAUAAUAUUUACAUUUUAAUCAACUUUGCAACAUCAUUA
rnacentral:snRNA from 1 species